GGGUAAGAGAGAUGGAAAGGAGACUGAAAACCUACCCAAUUUUGUCUUUCCCAUUCGCCUAUAACACAAACUGAAAGUGCUUCCAAAGUUACUUCUGGUGCAAUUUAGGAGAAAUGCCAUGUACUGUAGUAAGAAAAAAAAAACAUAUAUAUAUAUAUAUUUUUUUUAUUCAACUGCAAGAGAUUGCUUUAAAAAUAGUCAUUCUUAAAACUUUCCCAUAAUGCACAAUGGUUUUGGCCAUUAUUUUUCAUUGCAAAGCUAACCUAUCAAGAGGUAAGACGACGUCCUCUGAAAAUGACGUGGUGCUUUUUACACUGUUAGAGCGCAAGUUCAUCAUGUUUCAUUGGCUUCGUGUGCUCCUCUCCGGAAAUGAAGCGAAGGAUGCUCCCAGCUCUUACAAAAUGCUCUGACAUCACUAGAUGAGAAGUGUGGAGUAUUGCUACAACAGGGAACUUCUAAUCCAAUGUCAUGUUUCGGUACGCUUCUUGCUUGUUAAGAGGUCUGUUUACAAGGCAUUGUAAACACUGUUCACUGCUAACCCAAGAUAUCUUUUCACCAUGAAGCAGAUUACUGUGCCUCUACAUUACAUGAUCUUAUUUUUGUAUUCAUUCAAUAAAUGGGGCCCUGGAAGGGCAUAUCUUGUUGCAUUUCUGUUUUCAUUCCUGUCCUUGCCAGCUUAGCAGCAGACAAAUGGCCUUUUUGGGCUUAUGCAGAUGAGCUCUGCUUGAAUGUUCCAACUACAGGGUCUUAGAAGGCUGCACUGGAGGUGUGACCAUGUCGUGGAAAAUGCUGAUCAUCUUUCCAAGUCUGGCUUCUGUUCUUUCAGAGUGCUAUGUGCCAUUCUCCCAGACUGAUGCAUCUGAUGCAGUGUUGGGGACGUCCCUCGGUAUAGCUUGGGAGUUGCAGCCAGUUGAGAUGCCUGGGAGUCAGCACGACUGUUCUGAGCUAUUAGCAGAUGUCAGGCAGAUGCUCCACAACUUCGAAGUCCAGAGACUUGCAUUUACAUAAAGAUCUCAGGUUUCACCUUAAUUGCAUGACUUAAGCAGGUGAGUCACUAACCACAGACCUAAGCAUGUGGUCUUUGCACUGUAUUCAAGAUACUGCGAUAAGAACUGUCUCAGCUCCCUGCUGUCUCCUGAGUGAGGACCAGAGUGUUACCUUGGAUUCAGUUCUCUACUUUUUCUCCUCAUUUAGACAUCUCAAAUAGAUGCUUGCAUUUAGGUAGGGUGAGUCCAGUUAGUAAUGCUCCCUGUUUUAAUCUCUUGCUGUGUGAGUGAAUUGUUCUCUGCAGGAAGUGCCUUCCUGCAUAAAGAGUUGGUGUUGCAGCUGCUAUGUAGUAAUUUUUUAUUUUUUUUUUUCAAGUUACCUGAGCAAUUACACAAGGGCAAACAUUGUAAUCACUGGAAUUGAAAUUGCUUAUCUUGGAAAAAAGAAUUUUUUGGAUGGACUUCACGCCAACUAUAGCCUUAUUUCUGUUGGUCUCUGUGGAUCUCCUCAUUGAAGAAGAACAGAAGUCAGAUGCCAGAUUCUGUGGAGUGGAGCAGAAGUUUGUAAAGUUGCAUUAAUUAUUUGUUCUCCUCUUUAAAGUGAUGUCAGAGUCCUGUACUGAUUUCUCAGAGCGGGAAGGGGCCAUUACUUUAAGACUCUGUUUUCUUUUUUAAAAACAGACACUUUUAAAGGUUUGUUUAUUAAAACACAAACAAAGCCCUGCAGGGAUAAUUUAAGUAUGUGUGAUAUAAUUACGAGAGUUGGAGUUGGGUUACAACUGUAUUUACAAGUCUGAAGGAGUUUCUCAUGGACAGAAUGAGGGUGUUACAACUGCAUCACAGCUGAAAGAAACCACUAUCAUAAAAAUCCUUGUGGCUUCUUGACAGGUUCUUACAGGAAGGUGACUCCUCAUCAGAAGCUUUUUGCAGUUCCCACAGUCGCAUGUAUGUUUACAUCUUGCUCUCCUCCUCGUAUCCUGGCACUGUUUGUCAUGUUUUGUUCUUACUGAAGUAAUGGCACUUCCAGCUGUGGAUUACUGUCUCAGCAGAAACUAAGUUUUUAGUUCAAGUCAGAGCACUAAAGCGUGUCUUGCCUGGUGCAAUUUUACACACAAGAUAGAGAUCAUCAUGCAAACCAUAAUGACCUCAAAGCAUAGUGCCAGCCGGUGACACAAGUAAGUUCUUCUUUGCAUCCCAGUGCUUUUGUGAGACAAGACCAGUUAAUGCAUUAAAAAUAAUUGUCUGGAGCAUAGCCUCUAAAACUCAAAGUGUAUUUUGGGGCUUGUACAUUGAAACCAGUUGUAAAGAUUUGGCAGCUUUGCUGCUUUCAUAAUGCUUUCGCAUCCUGCUACUCAGUGGACGUGGGCAGUGGGCCUGUAGAAGCUGGAUUGCACAUGGGGUCCUCUGAAGGGCUCUGCUCUAGCAGUGGCUUGAUACGCAGGUCAGAAGGUAUGAGAGCUUCCUCCCUGCUGGCUCUUCAUGUGUUGGAGGCCACCAACAGCAAACACUUCGUCAUUUCUACCUCAAACCCAUUUGUUCUGUUGGGGUGACAGCCUGCCUUCCAGAACAUAUCCCUUUUUCUUGAUAGAGUGCUGCAGUAGUUAACAGCAAGUAUGUUAAACAAGGAAAUGCAACACCUUUUGAAUGUUUGCUUGCUGAAUUCCUAGUGUAACAAUAGUCGGGGUCCUGCCAUGCUAUCUGCCAAAAACAACACUCUGCUGCUGUGAAGCAUAGCAUAUCUGAUGCACACUGGGUUUCAACCUGCUGCAUGGCCUCUUUCUUGAUAAAACACAGGAACAUCCUGGAAUUAAAUUUAGAUUUCAUUACUUCUAGUUCCACCUCCCUAGUAUUUACUUGCCUGUAGAAGUAUGCUGUUCUAGGUAGCAGAGAAGAAAGGAAUAAAUUAAUACUAAGCUGUUUAAAGGAAAAAUCAGAAUGAACGACUUAUAGACUGAACAUGUGGGUUUAUAAUAUCCCAUGUGGUGUCCAGAGUAGGGGAGUGUAAGCUGGACUCGAGUGUUAUCUUUUACAGCAGCUGAUGGAGGUAAUAAAAAAACACAUGGGAAGCUUUGGAAACAGAUAUGUGUGGAAUUGGUUUCUCUGGAUUUGUCUCAUGGUUGCUGGCAUUAAAGGAAGAAACCAGAGCCCUGCCCUACUAAAGCAUUUCUAAGGAUUUCUUCCUUUGUGGGUUUUCUGGUAUGUAGUAAAUACAAGUCCACAAUAACAGCAUCUCCCCUAGCCAAGGCAGCUCUAGUUGUUUCUUCUCUAUGGCCUCAAAGCCUCAUGAAACUUCGUUACCUUUGUUGCGCUUGGCUGAAAUUGGUCUAUGUGUUCAAAAGGAAAUACUCUCAUCCUUCACAAAAUACAGGCCUGUAAGCCUGUGCUUUUCUAGAAAAAAACAGCAGGAAUAACCCAGAGCUAGGAUCACUCCUAUUUGCUAGAAUGUCUAAGUAGUUCAAGGGCUCUGCUUUGAUAUGUUGGUUUUACUGAACGGCUGCUUCUCAUGGGCAAAGCUGGUCUUUGCUCUACAGCAUUUUGGGCCAACAUCCUUGUACUCCCAUGACCUUGGACCAGAUAAACCUGAUCUGUGAACACGCUUAUGUUGUUCAGUGUAAUUGUCCAGCCUGUGUCCAAACAGCCCAGCUGUGGAUCAGGAGGGUGUAGCAGCACGUUAUCCUGUGCUCUGUGUUUCGUACAGUCUUGUCUUUCUGUGCUGUUCCUGGGCUUGAUUGAGUGCUAAGAGCACCGCUGCUUUGACUGAGCUGUGCCAGCAGGCUGUGCUGCGGGGCAGCUCUUCCGCAGCCUGCCUGCUCAGCAUGCCUCUGGCAGGGAAACCCCAAAGGGUCUGGGAAAAGAGGCUCUGCCUAAUCUUGGGCUUCCUGCUUAGCCUUGGGUGAUACUUCGCUUGUGCCUUGGCUGGAGUUCAGUUUGGAUUACCAACUAGAUUUGAAGGAGAGAUCUUUUGCUGGUGCACAGAACUUGCUCCGCAUCCUGCUGCUCCCAGUAAAUGGGCUAAAACUAUUUGAACAAGAAUGUGCAGUCUGUUUGUAAAAGCAAACAACUUAUCUUUGUGAAAAGCAACACGUGUUUUAACCCUUUCAAGCUGGGGCAAGUGAAAGCAAUUAUGUUGGUUUGAGGGUCGUGAACCUGGACAAGUGGUUCCUGUUUUUUAGUGGAAGCAGAUGAAAUUCCCAAAGCUUGUAAAUGUAAACACUGUUAAAUCCUCCAGCAUAACUCCUGUGAAACUAAGGGAUGGAGAAGAAAGAAUGAGAGGUUCAGUCAGCCUGAAAAAUGCUCACAUUUAGAGGUGACCAUUCAUAGCUAGAUGGGAAGGAAAACAGGUCAGGAGAUAACCAAAUAUUAAAAUAAAAUUCAUUGGAGAUCUCAGACACUCAGAUUAGAAUCACAGAAUGUCCUCAGUGGGAAGGGACCCUUAGAGGCUGUCUAGUCCAACUUGCCUGCUAUGAAUAAGGACACCUACAGUACUAUGGUGAGAGUUUUCAAAGGUACCUAGAAAGGGGCAUUAAAAUCCCAUAGUUCUGAGAGAAAUUUGGCUCACCUUUGGUCAGUGCAGCUAUGCUGUGUUCAAGUACCAGACAGACAAGGCCUUAAAAACUUUUCUUACCGAGCAUUACCACCUUUUGAUUUUGAGCAAAAGUACAUGUAGUUGUGUGUGAAUUUUUCCCAUUGAAAGAAUGGGAAAGUCUUGUAUUGAUUCUUUUUUCCUAAGGCUCAUGUUGCCAUUGUAAUUUCUUUGUUUGCCUUUUUCCAACUUCUGAAGCAGUAAAGAUUUAAGCACUCGUGAUUCCGAUGCUCAAGUACCUCUUGUGCAAUACUUCUGCAACGGUGGAAUGCUUCACUCAGAAAAGCAGAUCAGAUGAAAUGAGAAAAUCCUGGGACAGAGAGCCAUUAUCAUGUUCCUGAUAGAAGGUGGCUUUGAACUAGUUCUCUCCACGUGCAUCUCAGUGAAUAUUCCCAGCAGUGACAGACAGCAGUACUGCUGUGCCUUACAAGCCAACGUUUAGAUUCCAGAGAGGAAAGCUGUCCAAUCUGUAGCAUAAAAGUCAGUUCCUCUAUCUCACUGUUCUAUUUGUUGGGUCAAAGUGUAUUGCAAGGAUGUUGUAAGGGUUGAAGGCAGUUAUAUUGCUGUUGUCUUGUUGAUUUGACAUAUUUCUAAAUGAGGGUCUCUUCUGUAAGAGAGGAGUCUGGUCCCCGAGCACUUUGUGACAACAUGCAGUG
ensembl:lncRNA